rnacentral:tRNA from 1 species
GGCUUCGCAGUUCAGUUGGUAGAGCGCUUGCCGUGUUGAGGCAUGCCGUGUCUGUCGCUGGUUCGAAUCCAGCCGAAGCCG